CCCUUGUGGAGGAGGACGCCGAAGGUGGGGCUAAUGACUGGGGUGAAGUCGUAACAAGGUAGCCGUACCGGAAGGUGCGGCUGGAUCACCUCCUAACAGGGAGACAACAAAAUGUUUAAUUUUAUAAUUUUGUCACCUUAGGUCGAUCGGUAUCUCACAUUCUUAAUCUAUUAAGAAUUUCAAUUCCUAAGUUUUUUCUAGGUCACACCCAUUAUUUUUCCUGGGCCAUUAGCUCAGGUGGUUAGAGCGCACCCCUGAUAAGGGUGAGGUCCCUGGUUCAAGUCCAGGAUGGCCCAUAUCUCUAUGUUGGGGGUAUAGCUCAGUUGGUAGAGCGCCUGCUUUGCAAGCAGGAUGUCAGCGGUUCGAGUCCGCUUACCUCCACUGAUUACCACCUCUGUCAUAAUCAAUUUUUGAUAAAGGAAAAAUUUUGAGUUUUGAUCAAAAUUCUGAACGAAUCUAGCUUCCUAAUCAUCAUGUUAAGAUGCUGGACUCAUUGAAUUAAUUUCAUUGUUUUCAGAGAACCUUGACAACUGCAUAGAUUAUUUUUAAAGACAAUAAGCAUCUUUAAUGAUGCAGAUUUAUUAUUUGUGCGAAUGCAUUAAAUAACAAUUCUAUUAAGCUGAUGCUUCAAUUUUUGAAGUUAUUGGUCAAGCUACAAAGGGCUCACGG
rnacentral:misc_RNA from 1 species